ACCUGCCCUAUGAUAUAUUUAUUAAAUGGCCGCGAUAAUUUGAUCGUGCAAAGGUAGCAUAAUAAUUAGUUUUUUAAUUGGGAACUGGAAUGAAAGGUCGAACGAGAAAAAAACUGUCUCAAUUUAAAUUUAAUUAGAAUUUUAUUUUUAAGUUAAAAAGCUUAAAUAUAUUUAAAAGACGAGAAGACCCUAUAGAGUUUUAUAUUUUUAUUUUUAUUUUUUAGUUUUAGAAUUUAAUUUUAAAAUUGGUUUAAAAAUAUUUGGUUGGGGUGAUUGAAAAAUUAAAUAAACUUUUUUUAUUUAGUAAAACAUUGAUAUAUGAUUAAAUGAUCCAUUAUUAAUGAUUAUAAGAUUAAAUUACCUUAGGGAUAACAGCGUAAUUUUUUUUGAGAGUUCUUAUCGAAAAAGAAGUUUGCGACCUCGAUGUUGGAUUAAAAUUAACUUUUGGUGUAGAAGCUGAA
rnacentral:rRNA from 1 species